CAGCAACUUGCAGGAAUGAGAGUUAAUAUAAAAGAUUUAUUAACUUGCUUGACUAGGUCUUAUAAAGUUCUGGAUAAAGCUGAUAAUGACAACUUUAUAUCCAUAGGUCUCGACUAAAUCUUGUGCCAGCAGUCGCGGUAAGACAAGGGAGACGAGUGUUAUUCAUCUUAAACAGGUAUAUUGGGUACCUAGACUGUGUAUGAAGGCUUUUAUAGUACCUACUACACUAGAGUUUAAUAUGUGAGAGGAAGAUGUCAGAAUUAUUGGAGUAGAGAUGAAAUCCUUUAAUACUAAUAGGACUGAUAAUGGCGAAGGCAAACCUCUAUGUAUAUGUACUUUAAAGGAAGAACAAUUUAAUGAAAAGAGUUAAAGAAUAUAUAUUAUCAUAUAUGAAGAUAUAGAGAUAAUAAAUGAGAACUAAAGUACUAAACUGACGUUGAGGGACGAAGGCUCAGAGAGUGAAGAGGAUUAGAUACCCCCGUAGCCUGGGCAGACAAUGAUGAGUGCCAUAGGUUGGCUUUUAGUUGAACUAUAAAUGAAAGUGGAAGCACUCCACCUCAAGAGUAAUGUGGCAACGCAGGAACUGAAAUCAUUAGACCGUUUCUGAAACCAGUAGUGAAGUAUGUUAUUUAAUUCGAUGAUCCGCGAAUAACCUUACCACAAUUUGAAUGCUCUAAAUUAGAAUAUAAACACAAGAAGGGCAUAAUAAGAUAACCUCUUUUUUUUGUCCUUAUUGUGUUAUUUAGACCACAUGCGUUGCAUGGCUGUCUUCAGUUAAUGUCGUGAGAUUUGGUUAGGUCCAUUAAAUUAACGUAAACCCUUGUUUUAUUUUAAAAAA
rnacentral:rRNA from 1 species